UCCAAAACAAACAUUUCCAGCUUUCUUGCAGCCCCACUGAAAGGUGCUCUAAGGUUUCCCCAAUGACUUCUCAUCUCUGCUCUGCACAAUCCCUGCCCUUAGCCUGUUUUUACAGGACAGGUACUUCAGCCCUCUUCUUUCUGUCCCGCACCAGACAUUUUUAAGGUGACUAUAAAAACCUGUAGAAUUAAAAAGAAAGCAGCAUCAUUAAAGAAUCCCCCAGACAGAUGCAUUCAAGUGAUAAAGUGUCUGCUAAAACUAUUUAACAACAUAAUGCUGGCUUUUUUAGUGUCGAUCUGUAAAGACUGGAGCCAUGAGAUGUUUAAAGACUGGGGUCAUGACUAGAAGUGGGGGAUUAUAGCACCUCCAAAGAAGCAAAUGAUCUCUGAUCUUCUCUCCUCCACCCUUCUGUAGGCAGAAUAUGCACAGUGAACAUGCACAGCACAUAUCAGAGAGGAGAAUGCAUUCCUGAGCUCUGAAAAACAUGUUCCGUAACACUGGACAGCCAGUGCACAACUCCCUUUGUGAGGCAGACGAGUUUACAGGAGCUGCUUGACAUUUUGCUGGAGGUGAGAUGAGGAGCUCCGAUUUGACCGUCUGGUAGUGUCUCUGUUACUUUUUUGCCUUGAUGCUCUCAUACCUUCAGGCAAAUUGGCUGAAUUUGGUGCUUCAUUUGCUUCACAAUAAUAAUGGAAUGUGCUACAGCACAACUUUGUGUGCCAUGGGGACCUGCACCAGGCAGACAAACCUGCUGACUGAGACACAGCUGGACACAGAUCUAUUCCUGAAGAAAAGGCUGAAGAAGAUAAAAUCAUCAUGGCAGCAUAGAGGUAUCUGAGGCUCCAGGGAACACAAACAAGUUGCUGGGUAAAGCCAGUUACCAUCAACAGCUGAGCAGGUAAUUCACAAACCAUAGCUUUGAUUAAGUGCACCCUUUUCCCAGCCACAGAGAAAUUGUUAAAGCUCUUGGAAGUUCCCUAAUUGCUUCUAGUAAUUACAAAUGGAAUCCUUUAUGCAGAAGAGCAGAGAAAGAACUGUGCAUCUAUGAAAUGCCCUGAAGCCCUGGAAACAGAGGAUGUCACAGCAAUCAAGGUAUUUCAGAGACUUUGAGGACCUUGUAACUGCAUGGAUUCCACCUACUCUUGAAGUCUUGCCUUCUGCAGUCAAGAGAAAAAGGCAGAACUAUGCUUAUCUCCUGUCUCUAAAGGGAGGAGCCUGGCACCAGGAAGCUUCAUGCCGAGUACAUGAGCAACAAGGCUGGGAGAUGUGAAUUGUGUCAUUGCUUUCUUCAUAAAGAUUAAAUGUCACCUGUGCUUGUCCCCUCCAUGCAUGGAGCAUGUAGGGACAUUGAGACACACGAAGCUCAUAGCUACUGCAGAGCCAAUGUCUCUGUGUAAGUGAUAUCCACAUUCCUGAUCACCCAGCCAUUCCUACACGUUGGCUUCCAGUCUGGUUGUACUCCAGAGCCAGCAAACUUCAGGCACUGCAAGAACCAGCUCACACAUGGGUAUGGAUUUAGCCUGAGAUAGUCAGGGAACCCACAUCACCAUAGUAACUGCAUGCUGUUGCAUUAAUUCCAGCAAAUAAAUGGAGCUUGUAAGUCAAGGGGUAUUUAUGCAGUGCAAGAGCACACAAAGAAACUGCAACAGUCCCAAAUGAGGCAGCCAGGCUUUCCUGGCUUCUUUAUCCUGGUUUUCAGGAGAACUGAUUGUCUGGUUGGAAGAUUCCAUCCAUAUGAUUAGCCUGCUUUCUGUUUUUGACAUGGAUUUUCAGACAUGACUUGGGUAUAUCUACACAGCACAACACUGAGCCAUAUAGGAUCAACCAGAAGUAUGAAAAAGCUUCUACAGUAACAUGUACAUUUUCAAAAACUGAGGGUGCUAUAGAAAAAUUUAUCAAAUUUGAGUAUACCCCUUCUGACUGGUGAGGUUUGUUUAGGAGCUUUUACAUGUUGAUGAAGAUGAGAUGAAUUGUUCUGCAUGAGGAAAUCAAGAACUCACCCAAGGUGGGCUGGGAUCCUCAUUUUGUUGCCAAAAGCCAAUCCACUAUUCUUUAAAAAUGAAACAAAAAAUACCAGUGGCAAACACAUGCAAAGUUUGGUUCAUCCAAGCUGACUUAAAGACAGCCUAGCUGGGAGGGGAGUGGUCAAGCACUUGGCUUGUUAGCCACUGACUAAACUCAUCUGUGACUGCAGGGUGUUGACUUCCCCUUUAGUCAUAUGCUUGCAGAAGUGUUAUAAAAAAGGAGAAUCUGACUAAUCCAGGAACUGUAGAGUCAGAAGGAUGAAAAGUAUUUUUAUUGGGUCUGUCUGAGAUUGAGUUCAUUUUCCCAUGGCAGCCCUCACAGUGCUCUGGGCAUUGGGAGCUGGAAAGGUGUUGGUAUCACAGCAGUGUUUGACUCUUGCAGAGCACAGCUGGCACAACAUCAGCACUGUCUCCCCAGAAUUUCCCCAUCAAGGGGCUAGGAGACCCCAGGAAGGGACACAGGCAGGCCAGCUGACCCAAGUUAACCAAAGGGAUAUUCCAUACCAUACAACAUCAGCUCUGAUAUAAAAGCUAAGAAAAGGAGAACAAACAGGGUGCUUUUGUUAUUUGCAAUAUUUGCUGUCUGGAAAAACUGCUACAUGUGCUGAAGUCUGGCUUCCUGGGAAGUGGCUGAACACCACUUGCUGGUGGGAAGUAGAGAAUACAAUUUUUUUUUCUCUUUAUUUCAGUGCAUGUAAACUUUUGCUUUUGCUUAGUAAAUUGCCUUAUCUCAACCUACAAGUUAAUUUUCCAUCUUAUUUUCCCUCCACAGAGAAGGGGGAGUGAUAGAGUGGCUUGAUGGGCACCUGCUGUUCAGCCAAGUUAAACUCACCACAUCAUUAAAAAGAAUGAAGAUGAACAGAAGUAUUGGCACCAAUAACAAAUAUUCUGAAGAUGGCAGAGGUUCCAGAGAUGGGGCAUCCAUGGCUUCUCUGGGCAACUUGUUCCAUUGCCUUACCACCUUCACAGGGAAGAAUUUCUUCAUAAUGUCUAAUUUAACCUACUCUCCUUUAGUUUAAAGACAUUGCUACUUGUCCUAUCUCCAUCUGCCAUGGAAAAAAAUCUCUCUCCAUCUCUCUUGUAGGCCUCCUUUAGUUACUGGUAGGUGUUUUAAGGUCCUUUGAGAACCUUCUCAUAUCCAGGCUGAACAGCCCCAGCUAUAUCAGCCUUUAUCUGUGGAGAGGGCCCACGGUGGGAGGGGGUCAGACAAAAGAAUUGACAGAAAGAGGAAACCAGCAGAAUUCCUGUGUGUCCAUGAGAAGAAGAGAAAGAAGAUAAAGGUAGAAGAAAACAAAGAACAUCUGUGCUGUG